AUUUUCUUAGUAUAAUCAGUACUAAUGACUUCCAAUCAUUAAGCCUUGGUUAAACCCCAAGAGAAAAUA
rnacentral:tRNA from 1 species